rnacentral:rRNA from 1 species
CUAGGUGGUUCUGAGGAGGAUGAUCAGCACACUGGAACUGAGACACGGUCAGACUCUACGGAGGCAGCAGUGGGAUAUGCACAAUGGGCGCAAGCUGAUGCAGCAUGCCGCGUGUGUGAAGAAGGCCUUCGGGUGUAAAGCACUUUCAGUCGUGAGGAAGGUAGUGUAGUUAAUAGCUGCAUUCAUUGACGUUAGCGACAGAAGAAGCACCGGCUAACUCCGUGCCAGCAGCCGCGGUAAUACGGAGGGUGCGAGCGUUAAUCGGAAUUACUGGGCGUAAAGCGCAUGCAGGUGGUUUGUUAAGUCAGAUGUGAAAGCCCGGGGCUCAACCUCGGAAUUGCAUUUGAAACUGGCAGACUAGAGUACUGUAGAGGGGGGUAGAAUUUCAGGUGUAGCGGUGAAAUGCGUAGAGAUCUGAAGGAAUACCGGUGGCGAAGGCGGCCCCCUGGACAGAUACUGACACUCAGAUGCGAAAGCGUGGGGAGCAAACAGGAUUAGAUACCCUGGUAGUCCACGCCGUAAACGAUGUCUACUUGGAGGUUGUGGCCUUGAGCCGUGGCUUUCGGAGCUAACGCGUUAAGUAGACCGCCUGGGGAGUACGGUCGCAAGAUUAAAACUCAAAUGAAUUGACGGGGGCCCGCACAAGCGGUGGAGCAUGUGGUUUAAUUCGAUGCAACGCGAAGAACCUUACCUACUCUUGACAUCCAGAGAACUUUCCAGAGAUGGAUUGGUGCCUUCGGGAACUCUGAGACAGGUGCUGCAUGGCUGUCGUCAGCUCGUGUUGUGAAAUGUUGGGUUAAGUCCCGCAACGAGCGCAACCCUUAUCCUUGUUUGCCAGCGAGUAAUGUCGGGAACUCCAGGGAGACUGCCGGUGAUAAACCGGAGGAAGGUGGGGACGACGUCAAGUCAUCAUGGCCCUUACGAGUAGGGCUACACACGUGCUACAAUGGCGCAUACAGAGGGCGGCCAACUUGCGAAAGUGAGCGAAUCCCAAAAAGUGCGUCGUAGUCCGGAUUGGAGUCUGCAACUCGACUCCAUGAAGUCGGAAUCGCUAGUAAUCGUGGAUCAGAAUGCCACGGUGAAUACGUUCCCGGGCCUUGUACACACCGCCCGUCACACCAUGGGAGUGGGCUGCAAAAGAAGUAGGUAGUUUAACCUUCGGGGGGACGCUACCACUUGGUGCUGC